rnacentral:rRNA from 1 species
GACGAACGCUGGCGGCGUGCCUAAUACAUGCAAGUUGAGCGCUGAAGGUUGGUACUUGUACCAACUGGAUGAGCAGCGCACGGGUGAGUAACGCGUGGGGAAUCUGCCUUUGAGCGGGGGACAACAUUUGGAAACGAAUGCUAAUACCGCAUAAAAACUUUAAACACAAGUUUUAAGUUUGAAAGAUGCACUUGCAUCACUCAAAGAUGAUCCCGCGUUGUAUUAGCUAGUUGGUGAGGUAAAGGCUCACCAAGGCGAUGAUACAUAGCCGACCUGAGAGGGUGAUCGGCCACAUUGGGACUGAGACACGGCCCAAACUCCUACGGGAGGCAGCAGUAGGGAAUCUUCGGCAAUGGACGAAAGUCUGACCGAGCAACGCCGCGUGAGUGAAGAAGGUUUUCGGAUCGUAAAACUCGGUUGGUAGAGAAGAACGUUGGUGAGAGUGGAAAGCUCAUAAAGUGACGGUAACUACCCAGAAAGGGACGGCUAACUACGUG